rnacentral:tRNA from 1 species
GUUUUUAUGGUGUAAUAUAACACACUGAAUUUUCUUUUCAGAGUUUGUCUCUAAAAACU